rnacentral:rRNA from 1 species
AAUAUUGCGCAAUGGAGGGAACUCUGACGCAGCGACGCCGCGUGAGCGAUGAAGGUCUUCGGAUCGUAAAGCUCAGUCCUUGGGGAAGAAGGUCUUCGGACUUGACGGUACCCAAGGAGGAAGCCCCGGCUAACUAGGUGCUAGCAGCCGCGGUAAUACGUAGGGGGCAAGCGUUGUCCGGAAUUAUUGGGCGUAAAGGGUGCGUAGGCGGCCUUUUAAGUCAGAUGUGAAAGCCCACGGCUUAACCGUGGGACUGCAUUUGAAACUGGAGGGCUUGAGUAUCGGAGAGGGUAGUGGAAUUCCCAGUGUAGCGGUGGAAUGCGUAGAUAUUGAGAGGAACACCAGUGGCGAAGGCGACUACCUGGACGAAAACUGACGCUCAUGCACGAAAGCGUGGGGAGCAAACA